rnacentral:misc_RNA from 1 species
GAUGAAGAACGUAGUGAAAUGCGAUAACUAAUGUGAAUUGCAGAAUUCAGUGAAUCAUCGAGUCUUUGAACGCACAUUGCGCCCCCUGGUAUUCCGGGGGGCAUGCCUGUCCGAGCGUCAUUGCUGCCCUCAAGCACGGCUUGUGUGUUGGGCUCCGUCCCCCCGGGACGGGCCCGAAAGGCAGCGGCGGCACCGAGUCCGGUCCUCGAGCGUAUGGGGCUUUGUCACCCGCUCUGUAGGCCCGGCCGGCGCCAGCCGACAACCCAUCAUCCUUUUCAGGUUGACCUCGGAUCAGGUAGGGAUACCCGCUGAACUUAAGCAUAUCAAUAAGCGGAGGA